rnacentral:rRNA from 1 species
GACGAACGCUGGCGGCGUGCCUAACACAUGCAAGUCGAACGCAGUGGGGACGGGUGAGUAACACGUGGGUAACCUCCCAUCAGAGGGGAUAACACUUGGAAACCGGUGCUAAACCGAUAUUGAUGGUUUGACCCGCGGUGCAUUAGCUAGUUGGUGGGGUAAAGGCUCACCAAGGCCACGAUGCAUAGCGGGCCUGAGAGGGUGAUCGGCCAAACUGGAACUGAGACACGGCCCAGACUCCUACGGGAGGCAGCAGUGGGGAAUCUUCGGCAAUGGACGAAAGUCUGACCGAGCAACGCCGCGUGGGUGAAGAAGGUUUUCGGAUCGUAAAGCUCUGUUAUUAGAGAGGCGGUAUCUAACCAGAAAGCCACGGCUAACUACGUGCCAGCAGCCGCGGUAAUUC